AGUGAACGCUGGCGGUAGGCCUAACACAUGCAAGUCGAACGGCAGCACAGUAAGAGCUUGCUCUUACGGGUGGCGAGUGGCGGGUGGGUGAGGAAUACAUCGGAAUCUACUUUUUCGUGGGGGAUAACGAAGGGAAACUUACGCUAAUACGGCAUACGACCUCCGGGUGGAAGCAGGGGAGCUUCGGAUUUUGCGGUUUUGAAUGGGCCGAUGUCGGAUUAGCGAGUUGGCGAGGUAAAGGCCCACCAAGGCGACGAUCCGUAGCCGGCCUGAGAGGGUGACCGGCCACACUGGGACUGAGACACGGCCCAGACUCCUCCGGGAGGCAGCAGUGGGGAAUAUUGCACAAUGGGCGCAAGCCUGAUGCAGCGACGCCGCGUGAGGGAUGACGGCCUUCGGGUUGUAAACCUCUUUCAGUAGGGAAGAAGCGAAAGUGACGGUACCUGCAGAAGAAGCACCGGCUAACUACGUG
rnacentral:rRNA from 1 species